UACGGAGGGAGCUAGCGUUGUUCGGAAUUACUGGGCGUAAAGCGCGCGUAGGCGGCUUUGUAAGUUAGAGGUGAAAGCCCGGGGCUCAACUCCGGAACUGCCUUUAAGACUGCAUCGCUUGAAUCCGGGAGAGGUGAGUGGAAUUCCGAGUGUAGAGGUGAAAUUCGUAGAUAUUCGGAAGAACACCUGUGGUGUAGACGGCUUUCUGGACCAUUGCUGACGCUGAGACACGAAAGCGUGGGUAGCAAACAGG
rnacentral:rRNA from 1 species